rnacentral:rRNA from 1 species
AUUGAACGCUAGCGGCAUGCUUUACACAUGCAAGUCGAACUGAGUGGCGGACGGGUGAGUUAUAUAUCAGAACGUGCCCAGUAGCGGGGGAUAACUACUCGAAAGAGUGGCUAAUACCGCAUCCUAUAGGAGCGCCCGAUAUCGGAUUAGCUAGUUGGUGGGGUAAAGGCUCACCAAGGCAAAGAUCCCUCGCUGGUUUGAGAGGACGACCAGCCACACUGGGACUGGUACACGGCCCAGACUCCUACGGGAGGCAGCAGUGGGGAAUUUUGGACAAUGGGGGAAACCCUGAUCCAGCCAUGCCGCGUGUAUGAUGAAGGCCUUCGGGUUGUAAAGUACUUUUGGCAGAGAAGCGGUAUCUGCAGAAUAAGCACCGGCUAACUACGUGCCAGCAGCCGCGGUAAUUC